rnacentral:tRNA from 1 species
UCCUUGAUGGUCCAGUGGUUAAGAUUCUGUACUCCCAAUACAGGGGGCACAGGUUUGAUCCCUGGCCUGGGAA